rnacentral:rRNA from 1 species
CUACGGGUGGCUGCAGUGAGGAAUAUUGCACAAUGGGGGGAACCCUGAUGCAGCAACGCCGCGUGGAGGAUGACGCAUUUCGGUGUGUAAACUCCUUUUAUAUGUCAAGAAAAUGACGGUAGCAUAUGAAUAAGCACCGGCUAACUCCGUGCCAGCAGCCGCGGUAAUACGGAGGGUGCAAGCGUUACUCGGAAUCACUGGGCGUAAAGGACGCGUAGGCGGGUUGGAAAGUCAGGUGUGAAAUCCUACAGCUUAACUGUAGAACUGCACUUGAAACUGUUAAUCUAGAGUAUGGGAGGGGGAAAUGGAAUUAGUGGUGUAGGGGUAAAAUCCGUAGAUAUCACUAGGAAUACCUAAAGCGAAGGCGAUCUCCUGGAACAUUACUGACGCUAAGGCGUGAAAGCGUGGGGAGCAAACAGGAUUAGAUACCCCGGUAGUC